rnacentral:rRNA from 1 species
GACGAACGCUGGCGGCGUGCUUAACACAUGCAAGUCGAACGGAAAGGCCCUGCUUUUGUGGAGUGCUCGAGUGGCGAACGGGUGAGUAACACGUGAGUAACCUGCCCUUGACUUUGGGAUAACUUCAGGAAACUGGGGCUAAUACCGGAUAGGAGCUCCUGCUGCAUGGUGGGGGUUGGAAAGUUUCGGCGGUUGGGGAUGGACUCGCGGCUUAUCAGCUUGUUGGUGGGGUAGUGGCUUACCAAGGCUUUGACGGGUAGCCGGCCUGAGAGGGUGACCGGCCACAUUGGGACUGAGAGACGGCCCAGACUCCUACGGGAGGCAGCAGUGGGGAAUAUUGCACAAUGGGCGGAAGCCUGAUGCAGCAACGCCGCGUGCGGGAUGACGGCCUUCGGGUUGUAAACCGCUUUCGCCUGUGACGAAGCGUGAGUGACGGUAAUGGGUAAAGAAGCAACGGCUAACUACGUG